rnacentral:RNase_P_RNA from 1 species
CCUUUCAGGUAAUCGCUGCGCCAAAAGCGUAGAGGAAAGUCCAUACUCGCACAAGCUGCGAUGCUUGUAGUGUUCGUGUCUAGCGAAUUCAUAAGCUAGAGUAGUCAGCAUGUCUGGCUAACGGCAAGCGUUUUGCCUAAGUCUUUUAAGAUACGGCAUACACGCUUUGAAAGUGCCACAGUGACGUAGUCUGCUUGGAAACGAGUAGAGUGGAACGCGGUAAACCCCUCGAGCGAGCAACCCAAACAAUGGUAGGGGCAUUGUCUUGCCUGGAAAUGAACAGAGCAAGAUGAAUGAUGAAACAACUAUGUUUCAUUGUAGAUAGAUGGUUACCACCUGAGUACGAGGCUCAUCCCCGUUUGUAGUACGAUGGAACAGAACAUGGCUUAUCGAU